GACCCAGGGAUGCACCACGUGCCUGCUGCUCAAGUACUUCCACCAGGUAAGCAUGACUUAAAAGGUCCUCUGAAACGAGAGAUUUUUGCUUGUAAAGGCUCUUGUGAUGGGCAAAUGGUUUGAAUUAAAGAGUGAGCCAAUCCAAAUUUCUCUUUGAGAAAAAGGAAAGAGAUGAAACCCAGCUAUCUGAGAGCAGCGUUUGGGAUUACUGGACCCAAAACAAAGCACUUGCAGGUGUCUGAGCGAGGGCUAUUAUGCACUAUGUGCUGACUUAUCAUACCACAUGAAUUACAGGGAUGUGGCUCAGACACUUCUCGAGCCAUCUCAAGUUUAACUGGGCUGGGCCCAUCCCUUUUAUCUUCCGCACAAACUCUCGCUCGGGGUUUCAGACAUGACUUACACCCUGUGGAAAAAAAAAAAAGGAUCCUGUCUGUUCCACUCAAGCUUGCUCAUAACCGUAAUUUUAGCCAACCGGAUGCCUCUGGCUAUGCUGGGAUGGAGCCUGGUUCUGGAAACAGGUGGGGGAAGGAAGGAGUAUGAUUAAGAGAAGGGAUUGGAAAUAUGGAAAGAGAGAAGGCUUCAAGGCAGGAGUUCAGCCUCCAUGAAUCACGGCACAGAGAAAGACAGGGAGGACACACACAUUCCCAAAAAAGAAACCUGAUCGAGAGUUAAUAGGAUAACCUUGGCUGACGUUAAGAAUAGGCUGAGGGGAUGAUGCAAACUGUUGAAGGUGCCCUCUUUAGUGGCAUAACAUUAAAUACAGCCAGUAAAGCAGUUGCUGCUUGUCUCAAAAAAAAUAAAGGACUUUUCCAAAGGGGAGACUCAUCCCAAAAAAGAAAACGUGUCUGAUUUCAUGUUGAAAGAAGAGAGUGCAGAAAAUUUGAUUUGUAGCCUGCAUUGGGCUUUAAGGUAUUACGAGAUAAAGGUUGUGACUGUAUUUACAGGGCCCAGUGAGGCAAUCCUUAAUUACACUGAGAGAUAUUUCAUUCCUUGAAUAAAAG
ensembl:lncRNA